rnacentral:rRNA from 1 species
UACGUAGGGGGCAAGCGUUAUCCGGAUUUAUUGGGCGUAAAGAGCUCGUAGGCGGCCGUUCGCGUCGGAUGUGAAAGCUCAGGGCUCAACCCUGAGACGCCAUUCGAUACGGGACGGCUAGAGGUAGGUAGGGGAAAGUGGAAUUCCUGGUGUAGCGGUGAAAUGCGCAGAUAUCGGGAGGAACACCGGUGGCGAAGGCGGUUCUCUGGGCCUGACCUGACGCUGAGGAGCGAAAGCGUGGGGAGCGAACAGG